rnacentral:rRNA from 1 species
AGUGAACGCUGGCGGUAGGCCUAACACAUGCAAGUCGAACGGCAGCACAGUAAGAGCUUGCUCUUACGGGUGGCGAGUGGCGGACGGGUGAGGAAUACAUCGGAAUCUACUUUUUCGUGGGGGAUAACGUAGGGAAACUUACGCUAAUACCGCAUACGACCUACGGGUGAAAGCAGGGGAUCUUCGGACCUUGCGCGAUUGAAUGAGCCGAUGUCGGAUUAGCUAGUUGGCGGGGUAAAGGCCCACCAAGGCGACGAUCCGUAGCUGGUCUGAGAGGAUGAUCGGCCACACUGGAACGGGAACCCGGCCCAGACCCCUACGGGAGGCAGCAGGGGGGAAUUUGGGACAAGGGGCGCAAGCCUAACCCACCCAACCGGGGGGGGUAAAGAAGGCCUUCGGGUUGUAAAGCCUUUUUGUGGGGAAAAAAAAGCAGCAGGUUAAUCCCCCGCUGUUCUGACGGUACCAAAAAAAUAAGCACCGGCUAACUUCGU